CCAAUAGCGUAUAUUAAAGUUGUUGCAGUUAAAAAGCUCGUAGUUGAAUUUCGGGAUUGGCGUGUCGGUCGUGCCUUACGGGGUAUGAACUGGCGUCGUCGAUUUCUCACCUUCUGGAGAAUCACGAUGCCCUUAAUUGGGUGUCGUGUGGAACCAGGACCUUUACCUUGAAAAAAUUAGAGUGUUUAAAGCAGGCAUUUUUGCUCGAAUACAUUAGCAUGGAAUAAUAAAAUAGGGCGGUUUGGUUCUAUUUUGUUGGUUUCUAGGAUUACCGUAAUGAUUAAUAGGGUUAGUUGGGGGCCUUAGUAUUCAAUUGUCAGAGGUGAAAUUCUUGGAUUUAUUGAAGACUAACUACUGCGAAAGCGUUUGCCAAGGAUGUUUUCAUUAAUCAAGAACGAAAGUUAGGGGAUCGAAGACGAUCAGAUACCGUCGUAGUCUUAACCAUAAACUAUGCCGACUAGGAAUCAGACGAUGUUAAUUUUUUAAUGACUCGUUUGGCACCUUACG
rnacentral:rRNA from 1 species